GGCUGUGGGAGGACAGAUGACAACAAAGGGCAAAACGGGGCUGUCCAGAGCAGCUCUGGCCCUAUCCCUCCCCAGCUUCAGAAACUGCAAAGCCCUCAUUGGUUUUAUCACAGGUUUCUAGUUUCUAGACUUUCCUUCUCCAACCUAUCUACUUGCCCUCCAGCCCCUCCUCUUGGGUUAGUCUUGGAUGGAGACUUUCUAAUUGACCUCCUGUCCCCCAGCAGAAGGGUCUCCAUGCUUUCCUUGGUCCUUCCAUUGUCCUUGGUAUUUCUGCAUGACAGUGUUUAUCCACCCCAGGUACAGUUGAAGAAUCUGAGACUGGGAAAAGUCACAUUCCCACACUGCUCUUUAGAGACUUGGACAGAUGGUCUCUGGGACCUCCCCCAUCACUGCCCUGAGUUAGCAGUAGGAACAAUCACACCCUGACUACCAUGCACGCUGGGCUUUCUCCUGGAAGUCUCUCCGAGGGGUCGGGCUGAAUUCGGUCUAGCCGCGAGGGAAACACAUGAAUACAGGAAGUACUAUACAGAGAACCAAGUCCAGAAGGAAGUCUGGCUGGAAGACUCCAGAAGUGUUCAUGGAGGCAAUGACCUUAAAGGGCCUUGUCCCAGGGUCUGGCCAGAGCCCACAAAGAUCCUUCCAGAGCCCUGCAGAGCUGCACGAGCUGACUCAGCCCUUGGCUUCCUGUUCGCUGCUGAUGUGCUGAUGUUGCCACGCUCUGUGGACCACGCUCCGAGUUAGGAAAGCUGCUAGACGAGGUCUUGCUAUCUUGCCCAGGCUGGAGUGCAG